rnacentral:misc_RNA from 1 species
GAUGAAGAACGUAGCGAAAUGCGAUAAGUAAUGUGAAUUGCAGAAUUCAGUGAAUCAUCGAAUCUUUGAACGCACCUUGCGCCCUUUGGCCAUUCCGAAGGGCAUGCCUGUUUGAGUAUCAUGAACACCUCAACUCUUUAUGGUUUUCCAUGAUGAGCUUGGACUCUGGGGGUUUUGCUGGCUCACAGUCGGCUCCUCUAAAAUGAAUCAGCUUACCAGUGUUUGGUGGGUAUCAUGGGUGUGAUAACUAUCUACGCUUGUGGUUUUUCCAACAGGUAACCUUCAGCAGUGGAGGUUCGCUGGAGCUCAUAGAUGUCUCUCCUCAGUGAGGACAGCCCUUUGAAUGUUUGAUCUCAAAUCAGGUAGGACUACCCGCUGAACUUAAGCAUAUCAAUAAGCGGAGGA